rnacentral:rRNA from 1 species
AGGCCGAAAGGCGUAGUCGAUGGGAAACAGGUUAAUAUUCCUGUACUUGGUGUUACUGCGAAGGGGGGACGGAGAAGGCUAUGUUAGCCGGGCGACGGUUGUCCCGGUUUAAGCAUGUAGGCUGGUUAUCCAGGCAAAUCCGGAUAAUCAAGGCUGAGGUGUGAUGACGAGGCACUACGGUGCUGAAGUAACAAAUGCCCUGCUUCCAGGAAAAGCCUCUAAGCAUCAGGUAACAUCAAAUCGUACCCCAAACCGACACAGGUGGUCAGGUAGAG